UACGGGGGGAGCAAGCGUUGUUCGGAUUUACUGGGCGUAAAGGGCGCGUAGGCGGCCACCGCAAGUCGACUGUGAAAUUCUCCGGGCUUAACCCGGAAAGGUCAGCCGAUACUGCGGGGCUAGAGUGCAGAAGGGGCAACUGGAAUUCUCGGUGUAGCGGUGAAAUGCGUAGAUAUCGAGAGGAACACCUGCGGCGAAGGCGGGUUGCUGGGCUGACACUGACGCUGAUGCGCGAAAGCUAGGGGAGCGAACGGG
rnacentral:rRNA from 1 species